AUCCGUCUGACGAGUCCGAAAUAGGACAAAACGUGCGUCAACUUAGAU
rnacentral:hammerhead_ribozyme from 1 species